rnacentral:lncRNA from 1 species
GUGGUUAGUGAAAAAGGUACUCAUUCUAAAAACGAGGAGAGAGUCACGUACUCCCCUCCCUCGCUUAUUUUAUUUUUUAUUUUUUAUUUUUGUUUGUGAGAUGAUAAGUGAUAUGCGCCGUCUGCUUGAUUUCAUUAGCCAAAAUGCUUAACUUUAUAUACUAGUUUUCUAGGGUUUUAAAAUGUAUGAAAUAUCAAGACUACCCUUAGAAAUUUUAAACAAUCAAAAUGGGUUCAAAAUUAAUGAGACAAAAUCACAAUAUUUUAUAAUAAAAACAAAUAAAUUU